UACGUAGGGUGCGAGCGUUGUCCGGAAUUACUGGGCGUAAAGAGCUCGUAGGUGGUUUGUCGCGUUGUCCGUGAAAACUCACAACUCAAUUGUGGGCGUGCGGGCGAUACGGGCAGACUAGAGUUCGGUAGGGGAGACUGGAAUUCCUGGUGUAGCGGUGAAAUGCGCAGAUAUCAGGAGGAACACCGGUGGCGAAGGCGGGUCUCUGGGCCGAUACUGACGCUGAGGAGCGAAAGCGUGGGGAGCGAACAGG
rnacentral:rRNA from 1 species